CUUGGAAUUUCUUUUUUUUUUGUUUAAAAAAAAAUUAUAACUCAGAUUAUCAAUUUUGAAGAUCUGAAGGAAGUUGGAGAGAACUUUGGUUUUUGAAAAAAUGUGUAUUUUAUUUAUGCUUCCCUUAGUUUAUUUGGCAUCUAGUAUAAUGUCUCAUGGCGUCUUGCUUGUCCUAUUUUCCACAUUGCUUACUUGUAGAGUGACAAGAUCUGAGGAAGCUUUAUUGAUAAGAGCUGGGGAAGCUUUAUUAAUAAGCAUGCUGAUACGUGUGCCAUCAGGAUACAAUAAAGUGUUAGUUUGGGAAGUGUUAAUAAAGAGUUUAUACACCAACAAAGUGAACCUUUUGAAGAAGAAGCAUAUUAUCUUCCCAUUAUUUCUCCCCUUUUUUUGAACAAUAAGUGCAAGGUUGUUAACUUUUGAGACACUCCAAAUAAGCUUUCACAGCCAUCAUCAGAUGUCAGAAGGUGGCAUGGCUGUUGUGAAACCUGAGGUAAAUUUCCCUAGUUUCAUAUUUUGCUGCUUAUAAAUGACUAUAUGGACAUAAAUGGGAUUUCUUUUUUUAUUUUACUGGUCUUUGGUGAUGCUGCUGCAUAUAUCAUUGUGGGGUAAUUUUCUGUUCACUGGAAUAGUUUGGCUGGUUUUAACAAUCAGAAGAGUUAUAGAACUAUGAACAUGAACACAUAUAGGUUUUUUAGUAGUUGGUCAUUCCUGAAAGUGGGUGAGAGGGAGUUCAUUGAAUUUUGAUUUCAGGAAUCAGGAUGUCCAGUACUUGCAUAAAUUUACGAUAGUAUUUGUUUAUUUUUAGCUCAACUUCCAAAUUUUAUUUCAUACUUGCUUCGAUUUUUAUAUGGUGUUGUGUUUCAAGAUGAAGUCUUACAUUUGGCUCCAAACCGCUGAUGGUUCAAUCCAAGAAGUAGAAGAAGAGGUUGCCAUGUUUUGCCCUAUGAUAUGCCGAGAAAUUCUUCAAACGGGCAUGGGAUCUUCAAAAAAUUAUGCUAUAUCACUUCCUCAACGUGUGAAUCCAGCUAUCUUAGGCUUAAUACUUGACUAUUGCCGGUUUCAUCAAGUACCAGGUCGCUCCAAUAAGGAGCGCAAAACUUUUGAUGAAAAAUUUAUUCGAAUGGAUACAAAAAGAUUAUGUGAGUUGACAUCUGCUGCUGACAGCCUCCAGUUGAAGCCUUUGGUUGAUCUUAAUAGUUGUGCACUUGCAAGAAUUAUUGAAGGAAAAAACCCUGAGGAGAUAC
rnacentral:misc_RNA from 1 species